rnacentral:lncRNA from 1 species
GCUUCCCUGGGGAUGGGGGAGGGGGCUUCUCUCAUAUUCCCUGGUUACCUAGCAACUUGUCUCCUUGCAGACAAGUCACCGCCCCUGCAGAGAUGCUGGCUAAUGUGCACACAACAAAGGGAAAGUGACACCACCACUCCAGUUCCCCCCUUGGAAGGCCUCCCUGUUCAUUAGCACUGUGAUAAGUGGCUUGCUAUGGGCAGGCCCUCCCCUGACACCCCUCCCACCUCCGGAUUAAGCCAGCCACACUGCUCCUCCUGGGGAUCUUGGAGAGAUGGCAGCUUGUCAAGCUCCUGAGACACUGGGCAUCCUAGACACACGCGACAGCCUCCAAAAUGGGAGAAGACACCUUCUCCAGGAAAUGUCCCAAGCUCUGCAUAUGGUCCAGAAGCCCACCCUUAAAGCAGCCACUGACAAGGAAAAUGGGAUUAUCCGGAUUGGCUCAAGGAAAUCCUCAUUUACCCCUGGAUGGAAACUAAAGUGACCAACACAGAGCAUGAGAGGCCGCAGUAUGAACACACCUCCUCUACCUGCCGUCUUAAGAGCUCUGGAACUCAGAACACAAGUCUAGUGUUGUCCCUCGACAGAUGUGUGUGACUUUGUGUCUGGCAAACUAUGUGCUUCAUAGAGGCUUUUCUCCAUUUCGGAGCAACUUUUGCAAGGUAGGCAGAUAAGAUGCUUAUACCAGAGCCACUGCUCCCUCUGCAUCGUAGGCAAAAUGCGAGGAGACGGGGAGGAAAGGGGCAAAGCACGGGUAAGUAAUGCACGUAUUAAUUCAGUUUAAAGUUCUGAAGUUGAGCAACAAUAUACAGAAUGAGAAAGUGGUAGGCACUUCAGUCUUUGGCAAAAUUUAAAACUCAAAUGUGGGGAUGCCUGGGUGGCUCAGUGGCUGAGCAUCUGCCUUCGGCCCAGGGCGUGAUCCCGGGGUCCUGGGAUCGAGUCCCACAUCGGGUUCUCCUCCCUCUGCCUGUAUCUCUGCCUCUCUCUUUCUCUCUCUCUCUCUCAUGAAUAAAUAAAUAAAAUCUUUAAAAAUAAUGAUAAAA